GACCUAGAAGACACCCUUCAAAAUAGACCUAACCUUAAGACCCCAAAACCAAAGCAGUCGCACCACCCUCAUUGGAAAACAAUGACCAGCGAAGAACAGACCCCCAAAAAUGGAAGUCAACCUAAGAGCAGCAACCAUCGCCUGAACACAGCCGUCCCCCACCCCUCUUCACCACCCAAAUCAGCCGUAAGCUUCACAAAUUCCGUCGUCGACCUCCUCUUCUCCAAAACCACCACACCCCUCGCCAUACACAAGCGGCCACCCUCACCACAAAAUCAAACCAGCGGCAGACCCCUUUCACCUAGCCACCAUUCCAGCGCUGCCGCACCUCACUUGCACAUAGGGACAUAGCUGAAAUACGGACAGACCUUAGAGAACAGAGAAAAAAAUGGGCUGAGAGGGCACGAACAAAGAGGAGAGAUUAGGAGAAGAAAUUGCUAACACUGCAUCACUCAUUUUGAAUAGCAAUUUCACGAAUCUGUGGAGACAAACCGUCAUUUUUAGUCAUAAGCGAGGCAAUCCGGUCAGAGUUCGAUGAGGUUUUCGGCGAGGUUUCUGUUUUAGAUUUUGUUCGCGGGUCCAAUCUCUAGUCAUUUAUUGAACAAAUACUCGAUUUUCUGAGUCAUCCGAGCCUGAGAUUCUGUCGAUUAAUUUGAAAGUGUGGCUGCUCGAGGUAUGGAUCAGUGUACCAUAGCUCGAGCAUGACAAAUACCCCAGGACCACUGCAUUCAGGAGCUGCUUAAAGAUACUUUUAUGUUUUGAGUCUGUCAUUCAUGUUGUCUUUUACUUUCUAGUCUUGUACAGUAAUAUCGUGUCUUUUGUUAUAUUACUUCCCAUUUUGUAUUUGAACAACCAAACAAAAAAAUUAAAUGAAAAAUCCAUUUUUUUA